UACGUAGGGUGCAAGCGUUAAUCGGAAUUACUGGGCGUAAAGCGUGCGCAGGCGGUUAUGUAAGACAGGUGUGAAAUCCCCGGGCUUAACCUGGGAACUGCAUUUGUGACUGCAUAGCUAGAGUACGGUAGAGGGGGAUGGAAUUCCGCGUGUAGCAGUGAAAUGCGUAGAUAUGCGGAGGAACACCGAUGGCGGAGGCAAUCCCCUGGACCUGUACUGACGCUCAUGCACGAAAGCGUGGGGAGCAAACAGG
rnacentral:rRNA from 1 species